CCUCACCAUGAUUGUGGCACGGCUCAUAGUAUCUACUGGUUCUCAGCCACGAGACCCGCUACGACCAUGGUGCAAGUCGUGGCAGUUUCUUUUCCUGACCACGAAAGUGGUCAUGAUCGUGGCUAGGGGUGUACGAGAAGGCAUACAUGCGCACACUGCCUUGUACGUCACUCAGGGUAUAAGCAUGGAUAACCACCUGCAACUUCUCAUUGACCCUAGAAAACAUUUCUCUUUCACAUCCCAUUUUCUCCCAACUCCAUAUACUUGAGAUCAAUCCAAGGUAAGCUCAUACAUCCAUUUUGUUCCAUUCAAGCAUCGAAUAUCAAGUUCCAAUCCUUCCAAAACAUCAAUCCAAGAAAUGAGAAGAACAAGGUCUACCACAUCUAAAAGGAGAAGAGAAAUGGGAGAAACAAGUAGGCAACCUGAGAGAGAAAGUGUUGAGGCCUAAAAGGAAUUGAUUGAGCUACAAAUGGGAACCCGAAGAUUGGAAAUGAAUGUGACAACAUUAGCACGGUUUCACCACUUUAGAAGCAAACCGGUGGCUUGAUGGAAUUAUAUUGAUUCAUUUGUGUUGGGCUCCUUCGGAUGCCGAGAGGAGCUAGAGAGGCUUAUGAACCAACCAUUUUGGUUGGAAAUCUUUGAGUGGAAGAACAACACCUACGGGCCGGUGCUACAUGAGUUCAUUGCUAGUUUGGAGAUCACGGAACGGGCUAAGGACCUCACAAGUCUCACAAUAAAAUUUCAUGUCUUCAACACCGAGCACCACAUUUUAUUGGACACUUUGGGCAGAUUGUUGAGUUUUUACACCUGAGAGGAACAAGAAGAUGAGUGGUGUCAAAGCUUACCACUAGAUUUUGAGGAUGACAAAACCCCGCAAAACUAUUGGAGGAAGAUAUCACAAUUCGGAAUUAAAUGGCAAGGCUCAAUGGUGCAUGUGCAACGUAACACAUUCAUUAAUUUAUUAUAUUCACUGCAUUGUUCAUUGUCUUAUUUUUACACUAUAUUGUCUUGUAAAUAUCAAAGUUAUAAUAUCAAAUAAUGUUAUCUAUUUAUUUA